GCAGUACAUCAUACAGAGCAGAAAGCACUUAACUACCAAGGAAGUACACAGAAGACUUCCCAGAUGAGGUCAGUCAGUCGUAGGAAGCCAGUCAGCAAAACACGUCAGCGGUGGAGAGAGACGCCAAAUGGGGAACGCGAACGGAGAGACUUGCUAGCUGGGACCGAAGCGAACACUGCAGAUCGCAAAAGGAGACUGAUAAGCGAGCAAGGAUCCGAUGCUGUUUACAAAAGGACUUAUGAUGGGCGCAAUUUUUAUGACGUUUGUGAGUUUAACUUUUCAUAUGUUUUAGAAUAAAGUUUUAGGGUUUUA